CAUAAACAACUCACCCAGGUAUGACAUAACAAUCCUAUGCUUAGUCUGUUUUUUUCCUUUUUUUUUUUUAUAUGCAAAGAUAGAAGAGAGAGAAAUAAUAGUAUCUAAGUUUCUAUAUAUGCUAUGAAACAUUUGUUUCAAUCUAUACCACUAUUAAGCUCCAUCUCACAAUAUCAGAAAUAUGUAUCUGUACAAUUUCACAGUUAAAUAGAAGACGACAUAAAACUUGUGGAUGACUGCAUCUUUCCCUCUCAUCUGAAACUUUUGUUUUACAAAUACUUUCCACAUGUGAUUUCAAAGAAAGGAUGCAAGGCCCGCAACACAUCAGGCAACCUGAGCCAAUCUCAAAGCCUCCAAUUUCCAUAUACCAGUUUUCAGGAUUAGACCAUACCAGAGCAUGUCAACAUAUGAAGGUGACUUGGUGGCAAAAUGCUACUUUACAAAGCACAACACCUGUGUAUUAUCCUCUAAUGACUUUAGUUACAAAACUCUCUAUUCCAUUCAAAAGUCACUACUGCAACAUUAACAACUCACCCAGAGAUACAUAUUAACAGACAACAACAUACCCAUGAUUGCACUCCAUGUCGAUUACAACCAAACAUUUUCUGGUAAAACCUUUGACCGACCACACUAAAUCACCUUUCCUAUUUCACCAAUAUCCAUUCAUUUUGUUCCCCAUAUUUCAGAUUUAAAUAUCUCGAAUCUAUCACUGUGUUGCCCUUGCAAAAAUUGCAGACAACAAACAAAAAAAAUUAGGGUGUUUUCAAACUUCACUGCAUUCCAGAUUUAUGACACUAAUCAGAGCAUCUGUGUAUUAUCCUCUGAUAACUUUUGUUACAAAACUAUUUGUUCCAUUCAAAACUCGCUACUGCAACAUAAACAACUCACCCAGCUGUGAUUUCAACGGAAGGAUCCAAGGCCUGCAACACACCAGGCAACUUGAGCCAAUCUCAAAGCCUCCAAUUUCCAUAUGCCAGUUUUGAGGAUUGCAGCAUGGCAGCGCUUGUGUAUUGUCCUCUGGUGACUUUCAUUACAAAAGUGUCUGUACCAUUCAAAAGUCACUGCUCCAACAUAAACAGCUCACCCAAAUACAUAUUACCAGACAACAACAUACCCAUGAUUGCACUCCAUGCCGAUUACAAACAAACAUUUUCAGAUAAUGGUAAAGGCACUUUUUGGCUUGUGGUCAGCAGACAUUCUUUAGUUAUAUGAGGCUGCCUUUAUGUGGAUGUCACAAGUUCUGCACAUCUCAUACAACAGAUUCCCGAGAUUGAUGCUUAACACCCUCUCCGACACCAAAAUCAACUGGAUUGCACUUCAUUCAAGUUGCAAUAGUUACAAAUUGCCUCUUACAAAACUAUGAAGGUUGACUUGCUUGAUAUACAUGACCUUCCUCACCAUG